rnacentral:rRNA from 1 species
UACGUAGGGUGCGAGCGUUAAUCGGAAUUACUGGGCGUAAAGCGUGCGUAGGCGGUUGGUUAAGACAGGUGUGAAAUCCCCGGGCUUAACCUGGGAAUGGCGCUUGUUACUGGCCGGCUAGAGUGUGUCAGAGGGAGGUAGAAUUCCACGUGUAGCAGUGAAAUGCGUAGAGAUGUGGAGGAAUACCGAUGGCGAAGGCAGCCUCCUGGGAUAACACUGACGCUGGAGGCACGAAAGCGUGGGGAGCAAACAGG